GAGCCCUACGGGAGGCAGCAGUGGGGAAUAUUGCACAAUGGGGGGAAACCCUGAUGCAGCGACGCCGCGUGAGUGAUGACGGCCUUCGGGUUGUAAAGCUCUGUCUUCAGGGACGAUAAUGACGGUACCUGAGGAGGAAGCCACGGCUAACUACGUGCCAGCAGCCGCGGUAAUACGUAGGGGGCAAGCGUUAUCCGGAUUUACUGGGUGUAAAGGGAGCGUAGGCGGUUUAGCA
rnacentral:rRNA from 1 species